CUGCCACCAGGAGAGGAUAAUGGCCCUUCUGGUCCUGGAAUAUGUGGAAUUCACCUCAAAACACAGGCCCUGCUCUUCUGUCGUAGGACAGAUGGUUUUAAGGAACAGGAACCUCAUAGACCAGAAACCUUCCAGUCUAAGAUUGAUCCUGCUGCACACGUGGAUUACCAGAGAGGUACUGCUUGGGUUUUCAGAGUGGAGGAGUGGUCCUUUGAGACACAGCUAAGGAGACGAGCAAAGACAGGACUGCGGUUCGGGACAUCUAGCCCAGGACCAGCCUGGAGUUAUUCUGCCCACAUCUCAUCAAGUGGACAAAUAUGGAAGCUCAGCCUAAGGGCAGGGCUAACUCCUGGGAGUACCACGUGAGAGCAACAAGGAGGGUCCAGGCCCAGAAAAUGUAUGCUACAAAAAUAUCACCAGUCCUCUCAAAGCCAUGCUCUUCACUGGCACUGGAAGAAAUUCUGUAAACCAAGACAUGGCUCUUUUAAGGUAAUAAGCUAAGUUGUAUUCCUUCCGGGUUUUUUAAAGACAUAAAAUUGGUGUUCCAGGAAACAUUAGAUUCAGUUGCCCUCACAUAUCCCAAUACCUUCAACUGGAGGCACAUUUUCUUUUCCUCUUCUUCUUUAGAAUCUUAAUAAAAUCAGUCAACAAACAAAUGAGUUUCAUAUCUGACCUGAGACAAUGAGCCAUGCCAACACUGGAGUUCUUUUCUCAAGGCAGUGGGAUUUGUGGACUUCAUUAAUUUUAGGAGUCCAGUUACUGUGGAUUUAUGGAAGCCACCUGCUGUAGAGAUUGUACAAUGAGCUGGUAGACAGGGUGUCUUGACUCUAAUUCUGACUUUAUGACACAUACGACUUUGGCAUAUCAAUGGCCUACUAUUUACCUUACUUUUCUCCAUGUGGAAAAUUGAGAUAACCAUAUCCAUCGUUCCUAUCUUUCUAAUUGUGAAAUUGCAUGAGCUAAAUCAACAAAAACAAUUGUGGAAGGAUGUCAUAGACCGUAAUGUAUAUAUAAAAUAUGAAGGUUUUUAUAAUACCAUUUAAAUUACAUCUUUCAGACAAAGGUCACACAUUCUAGUCUUUAAAGGACCAGUUAUGAGUUGUACUAACUGUACGUCAUUGAUUCUCAAAUUCCAACCCACCUUUCUUUACACUAUUUUGUAACAUUAGUUUCUGAAUACCACAUUUUGGCUUAACAACGCCCUGUAAAUUGUGCCUACAGAGGCACUUGAGAGAGACCAGGAGGUUGGAGGCGGAAAGAAUUUACUCUUUUUCAGUUUGCUUCUUUUUCCUCUUUUAUUUCAAUUCCUGUUUUCAUUCUGUUCCUACUUCUGCAUUUCUGUUUUUAUCACUGUCAGCAUAAUAUCUCCACUUCAGUAACCACAGUACAUUCCAGAACUAGCAGUUAAUUCCAGUUUGCAGAUUGUCAGACUUUGCAGAUUGUCUCAUCAUACCUUUUUAAAAACACCCACGCAAACCAUUGCCCCAUUCUGCUCAAGUCCAGGUUGCAGCCUCAGAGGGUUCCUUCUCAAAGGCUGAUUUCAUCUCUGCAGAGGCCCUCCCACAGACCUUCAAAUUUAACAACUGCAAUUUCUGCCCUGUUUUUCUUCUAGCCCCUUCCAGAGGUGGCAACCGCUUCCUGUAGUUAUAUAAUUUCUAAUUCCUCACUGGCUCCUGAUUAAUAUAGAAAUAUAAACUGGUGAAGUAGGCUUGGUAUAAUUGUUAUUCUUAUAUAUUUACACUUAAUUUGCAUAGUAAACAUGCAGUUGUCUUUAUUUCCAUAGAUUUCUGUGAUCUUCCUCUUUUUAUUGCCCACUUUUCUGUCUUGUUUUGUUGUUGUUGUUUUUUUUAAUUGAAGCAUGUAACUCUCUUGUACUAGCUCAAUUUACCAACACCUGGUAAGCAUGUGUCUACUGAAUAAUUCACUUUUCACAUUUGUGGAAAAAUUAAGCCAGCUGCAACAAAAAACACAACUCUCACUGGAACUCAGUUUUGAGGGAAAAAUAGAAAUGCAGAAAGUAACAAACUGGAGGAUACACACUAAAGGUGAUGAAUGACUUAAUUCUUGCUGAUUGUUGCCAGGGAGGCAUGUAAGGUCAAUGUCCCUAUGCCCUCAAAUUUUUCAUGAGAAGACACAAGUCCAGAGUUUUGUGUCCUAAAUUGAAAUGCUUAUAUAAGUUAUUGGAAAAUAAUUCUAAAUAUUGUGUUGUCUAAAUUUGUGUAGACCAAACCGUAGCCAUCUAUGGUCAGAUCGUGACCAAUACUUGUCAGAGUUACUUUGUAACAUCAUGUGAUCCUGUGUCUAUAAACCAGAUUUUCAUGCACAUGGUCAUACUUUCAGUUAAUCACAUUAUAGUGGAAGAAGAACAAACACCCUAGUCAAGAAUAAAAGUCCAGUUAUUAAUGGAAAUCAUUGAUAACAGGUUCAUUAUUUCAGAGAGACCUACUAAGAAGUUAUCUUUGUUACUGAAACAAUUAGGGAAACAUGAUCUUGAAAGAUUUCGAGAAAUAGAAGCUAGAUUGGAAAGAACACCCUCUAAAUUACAUUUUUAAAAUCACCUGAAUAUAACUGGUCUUGCCUUCCAAAAUGUAAACCUCAGAGUAGCAACAGCAAGUUCCAGAGCCGUGAAUGGUAUAGCAGUUAUUGUACAAAGAAAUUGCUGUUCACUGGGGGACUUCUGAUAAGUUUUGGAAAAUAUUGAUGGGUGGGUUACCACUUUUCAGUAGCAUGUGAUUUUAGAACUUUUUAAUUCUAGGGAAUUAAGGCAAAUUUGGAGUAAGAGAUAUUCUUGCAUGUGAUGGUGGGUUGUAAGCAUGAUAUUUACAGUGGAAAGAUUCCUGGUUUUAAGUCAACUAGUCAAUAAAUCAUUCGUUUAAUAGGACUAUCUGCUAGUUAACUGAGAAACUGCGAAGAAUGGUUUUCUCUUUCCCUUUCACUUCUGCUAGACAGAUUUCGAUCACCUAGAUUCCUUCCAUAUCUUGUCCUAUUUCCACCUGUCAGGGAAGAACUGAAUUUUCACUGUUCACCUACAUAGAUAACUUUAUUUAAAAGCCUUUCUUUCUAUUUUUUAAAAUGAUUUUUAUUUUUUCAUUGUAGCCAGUU